GAGCCGAUGAAGGACGCGGUAAGCUGCGAAAAGGCAUGGGUAGGAGCAAGCAUCCUGUGAUCCAUGCAUAUCCGAAUGGGGCAACCCACCAUCAGUCAUGUGAUGGUACGAAAGAGGCAGACCUGGGGAACUGAAACAUCUAAGUACCCAGAGGAAAAGUAAUCAAUUGAGAUUCCCUAAGUAGCGGCGAGCGAAAGGGGAAGAGCCCAAACCAGAUAACUUCGGUUGUCUGGGGUUGAGGACCGGCAUAAAGAGGAAACUUCUUAGUCGAAUGGUUUGGAAAGGCCAUGCACAGAAGGUAAAACACCUGUAGGCGAAAAGAAGUCAAUCGGGCUGGUAUCCAGAGUACUGCGAGACACGUGAAACCUUGCAGGAAGCAGGGGGGACCACCCUCCAAGGCAAAAUACUACUUGGCGACCGAUAGCGCAUAGUACCGUGAGGGAAAGGUGAAAAGAACCCCGGGAGGGGAGUGAAAUAGAACCUGAAACCGUAUGUCUACAAGCAGUCGAAGCACCUUAAGAGUGCGACGGCGUGCCUAUUGAAGAAUGAACCGGCGAGUUACAUUAUGUUGCGAGGUUAAGUGGGAGACACGGAGCCGAAGCGAAAGCGAGUCUUAAUAGGGCGACUAGUAACAUGGUGUAGACCCGAAACCGCAGUGAUCUAUCCAUGGUCAGGUUGAAGCGCAGGUAAAAAUGCGUGGAGGACCGAACCCGUGAGUGUUGAAAAACUUUGGGAUGAACCGUGGAUAGGGGUGAAAUGCCAAUCGAACGCGGAGAUAGCUGGUACUCCCCGAAAUAGCUUUAGGGCUAGCCUCAGGGAAGAUUAUAGACGGUAGAGCACUGAUCUGGCAAGGGGGCGUAAAGCCUACCGACCCUAGUCAAACUUCGAAUGGCUAUAAUUAAGACCCUGGGAGUCAGACUGCGAGUGAUAAGACCCGUAGUCAAGAGGGAAACAGCCCAGACCGCCGACUAAGGUCCCCAAUGCUGUACUAAGUGGAAAAGGAUGUAAGACUUCAUAAACAACCAGGAUGUUGGCUUAGAAGCAGCCACCAUUAAAAGAGUGCGUAAUAGCUCACUGGUCGAGAGGCCUUGCGCCGAAGAUGUCCGGGGCUCAAGUACAGAACCGAAGUCGCGGCAGGAUUUAUAAUUCUGGGUAGGGGAGCGUUGUAUAUCCGACUGAAGGUGUACCGGAAGGAGCGCUGGAGGAUAUACAAGAGAGAAUGCCGGUAUGAGUAGCGAAAAGAACAGUGAGAAUCUGUUCCACCGAAAGCCUAAGGUUUCCUGAGCAACGCUCGUCGACUCAGGGUAAGUCGGGACCUAAGCCGAGGCAAAAAGCAUAGGCGAUGGACAACAGGUUAAUAUUCCUGUACCGCUUCAAAUCGUUUGAGCAAUGGAGUGACACAGAAGGUAGCUUGAGCACGCGAAUGGAUGUGCGUGUCGAAGGUGGUAGGUUGCAGUAUAGGCAAAUCCGUACUGUAUAAGACCGAGAACUGAUAGAUAGACAAUACUUCGGUAAAGUCAAAUUCAAGUGAGCCAUGCUGUCGAGAAAAGCUUCUAGUGAGAGAUGAGGCGCCCGUACCGAAACCGACACAGGUAGGCGGGGAGAGAAUCCUAAGGUGCGCGGGACAACCCUCGUUAAGGAACUCGGCAAAUUGUAUCCGUAACUUAGGGAUAAGGAUAGCCGGAGGAUGUGAAGGGAUUUACUUCUGGAGCGUCAGCCGGUGGCACAAGAGAGGCCCAAGCGACUGUUUAGCACAAACACAGGUGCCUGCAAAAGAGAAAUCUGACGUAUAGGUGCUGACACCUGCCCGGUGCUGGAAGGUUAAGAGGAGGGCUUAGAGGCAACUCGAAGGCUUGAAUUGAAGCCCCAGUAAACGGCGGCCGUAACUAUAACGGGCCUAAGGUAGCGAAAUUCCUUGUCGGGUAAGUUCCGACCCGCACGAAAGGUGUAACGACUUGGGCACUGUCUCAACGAGGGACCCGGUGAAAUUGAAGUACCUGUGAAGAUGCAGGUUACCCGCGACUGGACAGAAAGACCCCAUGGAGCUUUACUGCAACCUGACAUUGAUGUUCGGUAAAUAACGUACAGGAUAGGUGGGAGACGGAGAAGUAUUGGCGUUAGCUGAUAUGGAGUCAACCUUGGGAUACCACCCUUUAUUUAUUGGACCUCUAACUGAAGAAGUAACGACUCUCAGGACAGUAUCAGGCGGGCAGUUUGACUGGGGCGGUCGCCUCCCAA
rnacentral:rRNA from 1 species